UGGAUUUGGUUCUUUAUCAUGGUUUGUAUCACUUACUUGGCAAAGUUAGGAGCUCCAUUUAUUGUAUAAGCAGUUUAUACUCUUACUGACAUUUGAAUCAACAUUUUGUGCCUUUAAUCAAGUAAGACUUGAAAGCAGCUAGAUAAGCAACUGUGAAUUAUGCAUGAUGAUUUUAGUGGGCUGCAAGAUUUUGUAUAACACCAGGAUUUUUAUUUUAGGAUAUUUGAAAAGGUUAGCACUUGGAAACCCAUGAAAGAAAAAAAAAAAAGAAGGAUGUGUGUAUAUGUAUGUUAAAUUUUUAAUGGAGUCGUACCUUAGGAACGUGAAUGAUGAAUCCAUGAUAUGAUAUGAAUAACUUGUUAGGAUUGUGGUUGUAAUGCAUUAUUAAUUUUUGAAGACAACAUCGCCAAUCAUUUAUGGUACUCGUUUGCCUUACCCUACCCAUUUGCUGUGAUAGGUUCUCGGCAUGGAAA
rnacentral:misc_RNA from 1 species